UCGUCCUAUAGCUCAUGGUUCGUCUUCGUUGAGAUCCAUUUAAUGGUAGUUGAAGGGUAUUUGAAAAAAUAGUUUUAUCUUCUUUACCAUUUUUUUGGUUUAUGUAGUGUGCAUUGUUUUUACAAAAGAUCAAAGGAUGUACGCUUCAUGUUCUUAGUUACUUGUAGCCAUAUGGACAAAUGAGUGGGAGAUAACCUCUUUCCAUUACAAGUUCCCUUUGUACUUCUGAACAUAAGCAGUAACAUACAGACAACGAUGUGAGAAAUUUAUGGCUUACAAACACUCCACUUUCUUCAAGAAACCAUAAAUAUUUAACCAACACCGAUAGCUAGCUAAUGACUGCAGGGGCUGUUGAGUUUGGAUCUACAAAGUUACAAAAUUAACAUCAUGUUUUCCCUUCAACUCUUAGGCUGGAUACAAGAUCCUAGGCACAGAGGGUCAAUGUAAUCGAUAGUUUACUCAGUCUUUGAGAAAAGAUUGCUGACAUGGAAGAUAAGGAGGAGAUUAUGAGACACAAGGUGAUGUUAUUGAGUACUUUCUCAUUAAGUAUAUAUUAUAAUUUUUAGUAAUAAUCAUACAUACUUAUAAAGCUAGUAUUUUUUCUUGAACCUCAUGCAUUUGAAACCCCCAUAAAAAUUUGCAAACACCUCAUGCAUUUGAAACCUCCUAUUUUAAUGAAUAUCACUCAAAAGUCUCUUAAUAAUGAUUAAAAAUUCAAAGGUUUUAUAACUUAUAUAAUAUAUUUAAUAAACAAUUAAUGGAUACUCUACUAUAAAAAGGUCAAUUUUUUUUAGUAGAGACACAAAUACAAUUCACAUACAAAAUUCAUAAAAAAAAACAAGUUUAAAGUUUUUUUUGUUGGUUUGAGGGCUUUGAACAAUUUUUCGAGCCAUGUUAUUAUGUUGAAGUUUUUUAUUUGUAAGUUUGUUAUAUACUAAUUCUUUUUUGUAUUUUCUUGAUUUAAGUAUUGUUUUAAAAAUAUCAUCGUAUGUUGUGGUUGAAAUUUUAAUGUAAAUUAGAUUAGAUUAAUG